rnacentral:rRNA from 1 species
GACGAACGCUGGCGGCGUGCCUAAUACAUGCAAGUAGAACGCUGAAGGAGGAGCUUGCUUCUCUGGAUGAGUUGCGAACGGGUGAGUAACGCGUAGGUAACCUGCCUGGUAGCGGGGGAUAACUAUUGGAAACGAUAGCUAAUACCGCAUAAGAGUAGAUGUUGCAUGACAUUUGCUUAAAAGGUGCAAUUGCAUCACUACCAGAUGGACCUGCGUUGUAUUAGCUAGUUGGUGAGGUAACGGCUCACCAAGGCAACGAUACAUAGCCGACCUGAGAGGGUGAUCAGCCACACUGGGACUGAGACACGGCCCAGACUCAUACGGGAGGCAGCAGUAGGGAAUCUUCGGCAAUGGACGGAAGUCUGACCGAGCAACGCCGAGUGAGUGAAGAAGGUUGUCGGAUCGUAAAGCUCUGUUGUAAGAGAAGAACGAGUGUGAGAGUGGAAAGUUCACACUGUGACGGUAUCUUACCAGAAAGGGACGGCUAACUACGUG